rnacentral:rRNA from 1 species
AAUCAACGCUGGCGGCAUGCCUAACACAUGCAAGUCGAACGGGAAAGUGGGAGCAAUCCCAUGAGUAUAGUGGCGCACGGGUGAGUAACACGUUGGUACCUGCCCUCUAGUGGGGAAUAACUGGCCGAAAGGUCGGCUAAUACCGCAUGUGGUCUACGGAUCAAAGCAGCAAUGCGCUAGAGGAGGGGCCUGCGUCUGAUUAGCUAGUUGGUAGUGAAUGGACUACCAAGGCGACGAUCAGUAGCUGGUUCGAGAGGAUGACCAGCCACACUGGGACUGAGAUACGGCCCAGACUCCUACGGGAGCAGCAGUAAGGAAUCUUCCACAAUGGACGAAAGUCUGAUGGAGCAACGCCGCGUGCAGGAUGACGGCC